GCAAAAUUAGAGAGAGAGUGAGAAAACUCUCUCAACUCUCUCAUCGGAAAGGAGAGAGCCGACCACCGCCGGCGAUGCCCAUGGCGUCACUCUUGGCGUCGUACGAUGGUCGGAGACAACAAACUACCCUAAAGUCUUCCUCUCGUUACCCUCUACCCAAAACCGAACACCUUUUAACCUAAAAUAGCCCCUAAAUCCCUAGAUCUAAGAGUUUACCUCUCGAAAGUUUUGAAAAUCGGCGAUCUUUUGACUCUGAUGAGUGUGUACCGAGGCUCGGUUUAAAGUCCUAAUAAGACUAAAUCUCCUCGUUUGUUGGUUGUUGGUGUCCCACGAGUACACGAUGUUGGUGUGCCGAGAAAACCGGGGAUGGAGGUUGCCAUUGGUUUGACCGAGUGGUUGAGGCUACUCCAACAAGGGAUGCGGCGCUUGGAAUAGGUGGGAAACUAGGGUUUUGAAAACCCUAAUCCAUCAGUUCGGUCGGGCUUCUACUGGGCUGUGGCUAGUCCUUGGGUUUUGGGACUGUUUUGUAAUGGUAUUGGGCCUGAAAAGAA